CAUUUGCUACACAAUUGUCACAUUUAUUAUUGAUAAUAUAUGGAUUGCUAGCAUAUCACUGUGUUGACCAUGUUGAUACUUUGCACUUGAUGGAGGGCUGUCAAACUGGACAUCGUGGUCAAUCGUACCCUGCACUGUCACAUGUGGAGCAGAUGCCAUGACAAACCAGAGCAGACGUAGGGAUUGUAACGCCCCUGCCCCGGACGCCGGUGGCAGGAACUGCACGGGUCCACUGACGGAAACCAGUCAGGCACACUGCAAUGUUCCUCCAUGUAGUGGCGACGACGUUGUUGGCGGGUGGAGCCAGUGGAGUCCCGCAGUAUGCACAGCCACCUGUGGUCCAGCCCUAGAGGGAAGCAUUGAAAGAAGCAGAAGUUGUAUUACGCCGGCCAAUAAUAUCAGCUGUAUAGCCGAACUAACAGAAUCCCAAAUGGAAAACUGCGGCCUCCCAAAAUGCCCAGUUGAUGGAGGGCUGUCAAACUGGACAUCGUGGUCAAUCGUACCCUGCCCUGUCACGUGUGGAGUAGAUGCCUUGACAAAUCAGAGCAGACGUAGGGAUUGUAACAACCCUGCCCCGGAAGCCGGUGGCAAGAACUGCACAGGUCCACUGAUGGAAACCAGUCAGACACACUGGAACGUUCCUCCAUGUAGUGGUAUGUGAAAGCCAAUUUGCCAUACAGUUUAUACUUCUGUUGUGUACAUGUACAACUUUCAGUUUAAUUAUCGGAGAACGAAACUGUGCCUUUCUGGUCAUAUGUCGAACCACAAAGAUCAGAAGACAUCUUAAGAGUUGUAUGAUCACACACAAGCUUAUUCAGUCUCCUAUGGGUGUUGGAUAUGUGUCUGUUACAACUAGCAGCAGUUUAAAUACGCAUAACCACUGGACGUGUAGAGCGACUGUUGUAAAGAUACCAGGAGUAUUUAAACUAAAGAAAUCGAGAGUAUGACAAACCUUAAGAAGAAAUUCAUAUUCCUUGUAUUGAUCACAUAUAUUAUGUAUGUCUGACCAAGCCUUUUGUACUGACUUUCCAAUGUUCAUUCAUCUGUGUAGAAAUGAUAUAAAUGUUGUCCAGAGAAAUAUAGAGGCUUUGCGCGAAACAAUGAAACGAUUGUCUUAUUCCAACCACCAAUACAAAUUACAGAAGAAAAAGAGUGUCUAUUUACCUUUGAUUUAUGAUAACAGUUUACUCUCUGGGUGAUAAACAAAGUUCCGAUUUUGUGUUCUGAUAUAUUGCGAUCAAUGUAGAACCAGAAGAGAGUACCUCCUUGCCUUUAUAACAUAGUACGAUGUACCACUCCAACGGAGUGAAUGUCCGUGUGAGAGAUGAAAGUUUUGAACGUGAACACUGAUGCUUACUGCAUGUUUCGUUUCUUUCCAAUUUAACAAGAUAUAGAAUAAUAGAUCUCACCUACAGCUGUAGGUCUUCCAUCUAACUUAUCCAGCUUUCCUAACUUGCCUUCUAUGACCUGGGAUGUUAUUAUUACUGCAUCGCUGUUGACACCAUGCUUGAUAUUUUUGCAUUUACCAAAUCAACCAUUUAAAUACAUUGAACAUUGAAAUAUAUUUGCUACAUCCUUCGAUUUGAUUACAAAACUUCUGUAUGUUGUUAUUAUUGAUGCAUCUAAUAAGUAUAAUUGUUCUCCUGUGUCAGGUAUGAGCAUAAUAUAUCUUCACAAUAUUUACUUUGCUGUAUGUUUUAAUCGUACUAUGUAGGAAUUUACACAGUUUAUCCUAUGGUAAUUUUGUAAAGUUUCAUGGAUGGAGGUACCCAACCUUUGCUAUGCUAUAUCUUCAUUUAUUCUAUGUAUUAAUAAUAGUAUACACACUCUUUGCCAGGAAAAAAUGUUGAUGAUAUACUGCAUGUAUGUACACAAUCUUUGCUUUGCUAUAAUUUGAAUUGUUCAAUGCAUGAAUGUAUACAAUCUUUGCUAUGCUACAUAAUAAAUUAUUCAUUACAUUAACGUACACAAUCUUAUGACUGGUAUAUAUUGAAUUAUUUCAUGCAUUAAUGUUGACAAUCUUUGCUAUUUCGUAUUGUGAAUGAUUAUCUGUAUAAACAAUAUACAAAAACGUUUGUUGGGCGAUAUAUUGCAUUGGUGAAUGAAUGAAUGUACAUAAUCUUUGCUAUGCCUUAUUUUAAAUUGUUCUAUACAUGUAUGAUUAUCUGUAUAACAAAUAUUUAAAAACGUUUGCUAUGCAAUAUAUUGUAUUGUUUAAUGAAUGAAUGUACCUAAUCUCUGCUGUGUUAAAUUUGAAAUUCUUCUUCACAUGAAUGAACACAAUCGUAAGCUACACCUACACUUCAAGUCGAAGACACAACGCAAUAGACCUGUCAACAUCAACGAUUCAACCGUAGAGAUGUCCAACCAGAAGUGCCGGUCGACCAAUGUUACCUUAGAUGUUCAUGGUUCUGUAAUUACGCUCCUUAUCAUAGCCACGAUCCAGUCCUGAAGCAACAUGAUGAUUGAUCAAAGCCUUGUAUUGAAGAAGACCUGAUGAUUCAUCCUCGAUAUCUAGAGUAAGGAAUCAACGUCAAGGACAUCAACGCACAUCUGCACCAUUCUACUACUACCUAGUGUUUACUUCCACCUUACAAACAGACACUUGGUCCUGAUCUCAACUUUAACAUACAGAUGUCAUCCAUCUGCAAUAAAGAUCAAAUAUCCCAAGAUAUAUUACUUAUAAUAUUCACGCUAAAUGGAUGAUCAACAGCCGUAAGAAUGUCGGUAUAAGAAUAUGUAUCACCUGUAUGUUGUUUUGUUGUGUGAAUGUUAACUGUUCAUUGAUCAUGAUGUUGUCAAACUCUUUGUUAAAAUUAUUUGAUAAUUUGUUUGACACAUACGAAAUCAGUUGUAUUUAUCCUUAA
rnacentral:lncRNA from 1 species